rnacentral:lncRNA from 1 species
UUCCUGACACAUUAACUUGUUUUGGUCUUAUCUCUUUUUUUUUAGGCCAUGGACUUCACCAUGAUUUUCACAAUGGAACUUCUGGAUCUGCAGCUGUGGAAGAGGCCCCCAUCUUUGUCCAUAUUGGUGCCAAGGAAAUCACUGUACCCUGCCAGGCUGCGAGGACAGAUUUUGCAACUGGUGUGAAUCUAACCUAUACCUGGAACCUGGAAAAUGGAGAAACACAUUCCAUCCAUGGUGAUGCUUCCUUGACUCUACGUAAUUUCCAUGCUGAGGACAGUGGACUAUAUGGUUGCCGCAUCUCCUAUGUGAAGGAAGACCAACUUCAUUCCAUGAUUUUCUAUCAUCCAGUGGUAGGCUACCAUAUACGUGCAGGUUUGCAGGUUCUACUGGUUUUUCAAAGCAGCUCAUGUGAUAAGGCAUUAACAGAUGGGGUCCUGAAGACCCUGAAGGAGCACCUGAGUCGCAUUGUGUCCCACUUUCAUUGUGAGCUCCUACUGGGGACUAGGAGCUGCUUCUCCACCGUGGAAAAACCUUUGGAUGAAUUUGAUCUCCAGGUGGAACUAGAAGGCUAA